GGGCUUGUGGUUUAGUGGUAUAAUACUCCCUUAGCACCUUUAGAUGCAACGUCAUACUGUUCCCCAGUAUGAAAAUAGCUCUAAUAACCCCUGGGAGUGGUCCGGGGUUCGAUUCCCCGCGAGUCCA